ACAGCCCCCAGGAUCUGCUUGCAAAUGGCAGACUGUACCGCUUCUCCCCAAGGGACUACAUUGGCAUUUUCGCGCCUUCUGUGCAGACUUAAAGUCUGUGACAGUCACCAACCUCCCCUCCCUACCGCUCCUAAGCUACCCUUUCUCAGUGUCUGCUUGCUGAAAAGAAAGCUCCGGCCUCCUGAAUUUACAAACGCUUUAUUAAGAUUAGAGCAAGCCAACAGAAAUCUUCCUGGCUUGUAGGUCCUGUGAGACAAGAAAGUCCCCUCCCAUCCCUCAAGUGUCCCUGCAUGGGGCUCUUGAAGAGGGCCCGGGUCCAGUGGAGCCUGGGUGCCCGCCUUGGAGAUCCUCUAGCUGGCGGGGGCAAGGGCUCUGGGGUGCAGCUGUUGGAGGAAUGGCUGGAAGGGGUUGUGACCAGGCCCUGUCAGCACAGUGCUUUUCUGCUUACAAAAACCGGAGUUCCUUUCAGAGACAGGUGGGACAUUCCUGUUUAUGGGCUAAGAAACAGGGCUCACAGAUGGAAGAGACUGGGCCCUUGGUGGGCACGAAAUGGAGAUAGGAUUAGAGAGCAGGUGCCCCCCAAGCCAAGGCAGUGCCCUUUCAGCGUAAGCCUGUGACAUUUUGACAGACUCCCUUGGGCGAGAAUACCCUCCUCUGGCCUCCC
rnacentral:lncRNA from 1 species